rnacentral:misc_RNA from 1 species
UGGUAAAUAACAUGCAAAAGAAAAGAAAUAGAAAACCACAUUUUCACAUAUAUCAUGCUGAUGCGAAAUAAUCACAUGUAAUCAUCUUGCAAAGUAGCAAAUAUAAGGAGAAGAAAUACCAUAGAAAGAGAAGUAAACAGGCAACAUUUCUUUAAGGCAAUGCACACAUAUGCCGAAAUAAGCAAGUUCUGUAAACUAUUAUAUUAUCACGGACAAGCCAAAAGCUCCACAUAUAAAUAAAUAAAUAAG